rnacentral:tRNA from 1 species
GCGGACGUGGGGGAAUUGGUAGACACACUGGAUUUAGGUUCCAGCGCCGCAAGGCGUGAGAGUUCGAGUCUCUCCGUCCGCACCA